rnacentral:rRNA from 1 species
GUCUGCAGCCAUACCACCCUGAAGGCACUUGAUCUCAUCUGAUUUCAGAAGCUAAACAGGGUCAGGCCUGGUUAGUACUGGGGCUGGCACUGUGUUGUAGCAGGUA